GUAACUUCGAAAAUAAACUUUUUAAUAUUGUAGCUUUCCCGCUGGUCAUAUUCAGCAAAUUUUCUCCCAGUACCGCAGGCUCGCAUUUUCAACGGACUUGUGAAAAAUUGAAACUUUUGCAUUUUGCACAGAACUGCCCACUUUCUGUAAGAUGUCCGCUGACAAUACGAGCCCGCACGAGUGGGAGAAAUUUUGCUAAAUUUGACCAACGUACGUGUUUCGACUAAAAUUCAGUCAUCGUCAGGAAAUAUAUUUCAUAUUUUUUAAAUUUAUAAUCAUUCCUGAUGGUAAGUGGUAACCAUAUGAGCGAGUCAUGAAUUUUACUGAUGGAAUUUUAUAGGAAUUUUACUUGUAAGUUGUGACGUUGUAACUGAAGAUUUCAAAGGGCAUAAGUGAUUGUGUGUGCUUGGAAAACGUGAUUUACA